GACGAACGCUGGCGGCGUGCCUAAUACAUGCAAGUCGAGCGGAUUGUUCCUUCGGGAACAGUUAGCGGCGGACGGGUGAGUAACACGUAGGCAACCUGCCUGUAAGACCGGGAUAACUAUCGGAAACGAUAGCUAAGACCGGAUAGCUGGUUCUCUCGCAUGAGGGAAUCAUGAAACACGGAGCAAUCUGUGGCUUACAGAUGGGCCUGCGGCGCAUUAGCUAGUUGGUGAGGUAAUGGCUCACCAAGGCGACGAUGCGUAGCCGACCUGAGCGGGUGAGCGGCCACGCUGGGACUGGGACACGGCCCAGACUCCUACGGGAGGCAGCAGUAGGGAGUCUUCCGCAAUGGACGCAAGUCUGACGGAGCAACGCCGCGUGAGUGAUGAAGGUUUUCGGAUCGUAAAGCUCUGUUGCCAGGGAAGAACGCUUGGGAGAGUAACUGCUCCUGAGGUGACGGUACCUGAGAAGAAAGCCCCGGCUAACUACGUGCCAGCCGCCGCAGUAACAC
rnacentral:rRNA from 1 species